rnacentral:lncRNA from 1 species
AAGGUGGAGUAACAGUAUCGGUUACAAAGGUGUGAACCAAGCGGAUAUGUACAUUUUCAAUAAUUUAAGGAUUUUUUACGAGGUAUGGUUGAUUGUUCACCGUAUUCCUUAAUCAUGAGGUCGGAAGUUCGAUUUUUCUCUAUAAGAAUGAAAUACGCUUUAUGGCCAGCUGUUUAUUGCCUUGUGCUAACACUCGCGAC